UACAGAGGGUGCGAGCGUUGUUCGGAAUUACUGGGCGUAAAGCGCGCGCAGGCGGCUUUUUAAGUCCGACGGUGAAAUGCCGGGGCUCAACCCCGUGCCCGCCGCGGAUACUGGGAAGCUGGAGACGAGUAGAGGCAAGCGGAAUUCCGGGUGUAGCGGUGGAAUGCGUAGAGAUCCGGAAGAACACCGGAGGCGAAGGCGGCUUGCUGGGCUCGGUCUGACGCUGAGGCGCGAAAGCGUGGGGAGCGAGCAGG
rnacentral:rRNA from 1 species